rnacentral:lncRNA from 10 species
AAAAUUAACAACACAAGCUAUAGAAGUGAGAAAAAGAAAAGAUGAACUCUAGGGUGUCUAGGGCAAACUAGAAAAGCUUUCAACAAGAAUAAUGCUAUAAUUUUUGGUUCCUGAAAAAAUUCAUCAUAGAAAUAGCCAAGAAGAUAUUCUAAAACCAAUGCCAUAGUAACUAGAAAUUUCCACAAUUAUUCACAAGAGUAAAAUUAUUUUCUAGGCCCUAGAAAAUAUACAUAUCACAUUGAUUACAUAAGGGCCUGCAGUGAACUUUUAAGUAUUUGUAUUGCAUAUUAAAACACAAUUUUAUAACAUACCAAAGCAUAGUCAAUACUACAAGGUUGGCUACAAUAAACAAUACACAUCCACGCUGGGCGCGGUGGCUCAUGCCUGUAACCCUAGCACUUUGGGAGGCCCAGGUGGGUGGAUUGCUAGAGUCCAGGAGUUCAAGAUCAGCCUGGGGAGCAUGGCAAAACCCCGCCUCUACAAAAAAUAUGGAAAUUAGCCAGGUGUGGCAUGUACUUGUAGUCCCAGCUACCAGGGAGGCCGAGGCAGAAGAAUCGCUUGGCUCCAGGAGGUUGAGGCUGCAGUGAGCUGUGGCGGCGCCGCUGCAUUCCAGCCUGGAGCUCAGGGGCCAGGUUAACACGGGUUCUAGGAAGGCUUCUGCAGGCUCUGAAGACAGCCCUCCCACCGUUCCCUCCCUGUGGACCACCAGGCACUGUUACUGACAGCCAUCAGAGCUCAGAACCAUGCUGCUGCUCCUGCUGCUGCUGCUGCUGCUUGGCUGUUUUCAUCUGGGCCAGUGGAAUGUAAGGGAGAGAUGGCAAUUGAGGUGCAAAAGCUCAUCAAACACGAUCUGUGGAGGCACAGAAUUAAAGUAUGUCGAGAGUGGAAAGGAUCUUUGCUAUGAGCUGCUCCAACCUCUAAGAGCCGCCACCACCACCACCACCACUGACAAGACAGAGCACACGCCCUGUGCCUGGAAUUAUGACAGAGAUGGUUUAAUUUCAUGUAAUUGUCAGAACUGUGUGAGGAGCUGGUCAGCUCUGACCUGGAGUGUGUCUACCCUGACCGUGUGACACCGGGAUCAAGACCCUCUCCUGGGGUCUUGAGGACGCCACAUGUGGGUGAGGCAGCCAUUGAGCAAGGCAGACCCUGCUGAGGGUCUUGUGGUGGGCAUGGCCAUGUGCCACUCAGAUCCCCCUUCAAGGCGGGCCUGGAUGCCGCAGCUGUGGGGAGUGCCUCACCUGCAAGUGCCUCACCCCACCCCAGACCAGGCCAACCUUCACAGACUGAUUGAGGCUGGUACAUAAAGGCCUGGGGUUUCAGCCUAUGUGGGACCAUUCUGAGGGGCUGUUUUAGCCCUAGAGGUCACCGCGGAGUUGGCCGAGGUUGUCCUUGGGCCUAAAUCCCAGCUUGAUUUCUCAGUCCACCCCUGCCUCCUUCUCCUCCCUUCCUCAGGCGUUGCUCUAAAGAGCGCUUGCUCCUAAGCCUCCUGCACAUGGAACUCCACCAUGGAAUCUGCUUCCCAGGAACUCACCCUGGGACCAGCCCCUCUGAGACUCAAGUCAACAUUUGGUCCUAGGGCUGCAAAGAGGAGGUGCUAAGAGGCCAAAGGCUACUUCCACCUGGAGAACGGGCCCCGCGUGCCAGCUCCCCCAAGGCCUGGCCAGGAUGCUCUGCUCGGAGGCCUGUCCUGACUUCCUCUGCUCAUUGCCACCUGAAAUUACCUAACCAACACCUUUCUUCCUCCCACCCUUCCACAAAUACUUAUUGAGCAUCUGCUAGGUGCCAGUUACUGUUCUGCACAAUGGCAAUUACAGCCAUGAAAGAAAUAAAACAGAAACAUUCCUGUUCUCAUGAAGCUUCCAUUCUAGCAGGGGAGCAGACAAAUAUCAAAUCAAUAAUCAAAAUAAUGUCACUUGGUGAUAGUACUGUGGGGAGGAAAAAGCAGGGAGUGGAGAGGGUUAGGGAGCAGGAUGGAGGAGACACAGUGAACAGGAAAGGGCUCACUGAAAAGGUGACUUUCGAGAAAAACCUGAAGGAGGUGAGGGACUGGGUCACAAAGCUAUUUUGGGAAAAAGCCUUCAAACAGCAGGAACAGCAAAUGCAAAGACCCUGAGGCCAGAGCUUGCUGUGUGUGUUCAAGGAAGAGCAAGGCUGCUCCAGUUGCAGUCGAGGGAGUAAGCAGUAAGAAGUGACCUCAGGGACUGUGGGAGGGAUCAUGGGACUGCAGGUUGCGCAGGCCCCCUAGGCCACUGUAGGGACUUUGGCUUGGACUCAGAAUGCGAUGAGUCACCAGAGGGCUCUGAGCACAGGAGAAAUGAACAUUUUAAAGAAUCACUAUAGGCUGGGAGUGGAGGCUCAUGUCUGUAAUCCCACCACUUUGGGAGGCGGAGGUGGGAGGAUCACUUAAGUCCAGGAGUUCAAGACCAGCCUGGGCAAUGUGGUGAAACCCUGUCUCUACCGAAACACAGAAACACAGACACACACACACACACAGACACAGACACAGACACACACACACACACACAGACACAGACACAGACACACACACACACACACACACACACAAAUUAGCUGGGCAUGGUGGUGCACGUCUGUGGUCCCAGCUACUCAAGAGGCUAAGGUGGGAGGAUGGCUUGAGCCCAGGGGACAGAGGCUGCAGUAAGCCAAGAUCACACCACUGCACUCCAGCCUGGUGACAAAGUGAGAUCCUGUCUAAUAAUAAUAAUAAUAAUCAUAAUCAUAAUCAUAAUCAUAAUCAUAAUCAUAAUCACUAUGGCUGCUAUGUGGAGAAUGACCGAAGGGGUAAGGGCAGGAACGGGAGGCCCCUUAGACUGUUCCAGUGAGUCCAGGUGGGAGGUGGUUGUGGCUCGGGUGAGGGCUGGGGUCAGAUUCUGGGGAUAUUUUGAAGGUGGAGCUAAUGGGAUUUGCUGUUGAUCCUUCCAGGGGAGACAGCUGUGUAGCCGGCAGCGUUGUGCACAUGCGUGCAGCCGGCAGCAUUUAUCAAUGAGGCAAACAUCGUGCAGUGGCCUUGGAGCCACACACACCUGGAGCCACACACACCUAGGUCUGGAUCUCAACUCCACGCAUCCUAGUUGCUCAUCUCCAGCAGGCUACGUCUAACUCUCCCAGCCUCCAUUUCUUAUAAACUGGGGAUAACAAUUUUUAUGUUAUGAGAUUACUGUGAAAAUUAAGUGAGAUAAUGUAAAAGAAGGUCUGGCACAAAGUUAAUUAUGAUGAGUUUAAAUAAUGUGGUUUCCUGUGAGUCCUGAAUAUACAGCAGAGAUCAGUCGGGGGAGGGGCGAAUGAGCAAAGGAUCCCUGCAGGGGAGGCUGGGAUCCUGCAGGAGGCACUUGCCAGAGCUGGGGGCAGUCAAGACGACCCAGGAGGGCAGUGGUGGGGAGACGGUGAGAGUCCACGGCCCACUUGCCUUCCCAAGUGAGGAUGGGGAAUUCCAAAGCCCAGGAAGACGCGGGUGGGGCGACCUUUAGAGAAAAGACAGUCAGAAGGGAAUUCCUUGGAUAAAGGCGGAGAUGUGGAAAAUGGGAACGCCACCAAAAUCUAGAGAGGAUGAGGUCAUCCCAGCUGAAGCCAAUCAAAACUUUCCCUGGAGCAGGCAAAAAAAAUAAAUAAAUAAAUGGAAGGGUUUUAGUAGGCCAGAAACUGGAGAUUUCUAGCAGCUGCCAAGAAAGGAAGCGAGCCCUGGGCCCAGAGCCCAUAAGCCCUGGGAGGCCCCACCCUGGCUAGAAAAAGAGACUGGUGGGUGCUGGGGCGCAGCCCAGAAGACAAAAGGGGAGGGGAAGCCAUCUGAGUUGUCUGGGGGUGGUGAUGGGGUGCGCUCCUGGAAAAGCCAUUAGAUCCUCGUCGGAGGCGGCCAGCAGAGCUCUGUGUCCCACUGCUCUGUAGGCAUUUUUCCUUAAGAAAGACAAGAAACAAGAUUAGUAUUCCUUCAAUCAGAACUGUUCUACUCAUUUAUACUUAGGAUGCUUUCCCAAUAAACCAGGGUCUAGCCAGGAGUUUAAACCGAGGGUCUGCCCUUUUUACCUACCUAGAGAGAGUGCUGGGAUUGAAUAAAUGUGGGUUCAAAUCCUGCUUGAUUGUGGGCAGGGGGCUUGACCCCGGAGUGCUGUGACAUGCAGAUCACACUUGAUUGUGGGCAGGGGGCUUGACCCCAGAGUGCUGUGACAUGGAGAUCACACUUGAUUGUGGGCAAGGGGCUUGACCCCUGAAUGCUGUGACAUGGAGAUCGCACUUGAUUGUGGGCAGGGGGCUUGACCCCUGAAUGCUGUGACAUGGAGAUCGCACUUGAUUGUGGGCAGGGGGCUUGACCUCAGAGUGCUGUGACAUGGAGAUCGCACUCACUUGCAUGUGUUUGGGGGUGGCUGGCUUCUCCCCUCCACCCCCAGGGUGUUAGAGAAUUGAAGGAGACAUAACGACCGUGAGAGUGGACACUUGGGCACACAGUCCAUUCUUUCCCGUGUCAGGAAAGUCACAGGCGCUGGCUUCCAGGGGUAGGAGUGGAGGGUCUGGAAUAGUGCCCCUGGUCCCAGGGCAGGAGUGUGACCCUUCUUCAGUGUCCUGCAGUUCAGACUCCCUCCCCCUGUGGUUCCACCAUCUGUUCCCACUUCUCCAAGGUCCCAAAUAAAUGGCAUAGAGCCCUCAGGAGGGGAGGCAUCCUUUUCCCAGACUCCCAGACCCCAUGUGGUCCAGGGUGCUGACGUCGGCCAGAAGCAGCCGUGGCGGAGCUUUUC